GAUGAAGAACGCAGUGAAAUGCGAUACGUAAUGUGAAUUGCAGAAUUCAGUGAAUCAUCGAGUCUAUGAACGCACAUUGCGCCCCCUGGUAUUCCGGGGGGCAUGCCUGUCCGAGCGUCAUUGCUGCCCUCAAGCACGGCUUGUGUGUUGGGCCUCCGUCCUCCUCCCGGGGGACGGGCCCGAAAGGCAGCGGCGGCACCGCGUCCGGUCCUCGAGCGUAUGGGGCUUCGUCACCCGCUCUUGUAGGCCCGGCCGGCGCUUGCCGACACAUCAAUCUUUUUUCCAGGUUGACCUCGGAUCAGGUAGGGAUACCCGCUGAACUUAAGCAUAUCAAUAAGCGGAGGA
rnacentral:misc_RNA from 1 species